AUACAGAAUAAAGUAUUGCUCGGAUAUGAAACAUGUUAUUAACAUUCAUUGAUUCUAAAGUUCAGACAGGUGUAGAAUACACAUAGGAAUAAUUAGACCUGAUAAUGAAAAACAGUUGCUCAACCGAAAAAUACUUCUGUAUUUGUGACGUUUAUAACUACUUUUUAAUUUUAAAAAUCAAAUAUCAUUAAUAUCAAUCCAAGGUUUUCUGAGUGGUGUGCCCAUCCAAAAGUUGCGCGCAUUUUUCACCUUCUCCGUGGUUGCUGCAUGACCUGAGACGUAUAUUUUAGUGCUGGAAUUAUUAAUGCCCGUAAUAAAAUUAAGGGAGAGGAAAUGAGGCCGCGGUGGUCACAUCGGGGACCACCAACUAGCUAGAUGAAGAACAUACAUAAAAUAUAUAUAAUGCAUGCAAUUUAAUACAGUGUGCCACUAUCAGCAAUUUUCAUAGUCGCAUGACAUUUUACAUGGACGUAUUUUUGAAAACUUUAUUUACGAAAUUUCUCCAGGAAAUUAACUAUUUGUAUUUGUAGUGACUACUUGUUUAAAAUGAAUCUGACGAAAGUACAGUUUGGGUGAACGGUUAGGGACAAAUAGCAGGCUGUUGUGACCAUGGAAAUGAACAUUUAGAUUUCAUAUGGGGCAGUAGGGGUAAUUUUCCUCACUAGUUGUGUGUAGUGUUUUAUCCUCAAGACUGGCAAGUGCCACACCACCCUGAAGAAACCUGCCUUGGUCACCUUCCUGCCCUACAUGACAAUAACUUUCAACCACAUCAGCAGGCUGCUGUCCAGACACAUCAAAGUCGGUGACCCUGCGAACCCCCCUCCCCUGCAAGAAGAUAACAUAUUUCCUUAAGCCUGUAAAGGGAGAUCUGGGACUCCUGAAGUGUACAGCAUGCCCUACAAGUGCAGUCGAGUCUACGUCAGUCAGAUGGCCGUUCCCAGGGUCAAGGAGUACCAGUGACACAUCCAUAUGGAGCAUCCAGACAAAUCUGCAGUGUCUGAACACAGCAUCAACCUUGGCCACUGCGUUCAACUCCAGGACACCACCAUCCUCUCUAUCAAGUCCAAACAUAUGGACCGGAUGAGCAGGGAGGCCGUUGAGAGCAAGCUAGAACCUAACAAUAUGAACAGGGAAGAUUGACUUCACCUGAGCUAGUUAUGGAAGAUCUACAUCCACUGUCUGAAACGACAUAGAAAGCAUUAAACAUAGCGUUGCCAGCCCUGACCUGCCUGAUAGGCCACCACACUGUCCUUUUCAGGACAUCACUUAGCUCAGGCCAGUUCCUUAUUUCCUUUCUCACCAUAUUUAGUUAAUUUUCUCCUCCAUAUAUUUCCUUUCUGUAUCCCACUCCUUCCAUCCACCCUCAUUUCCAUGUGUCCCUUAUCUACCCAACAGAGCCUGAGUGGCCCUUAUAAGGGCUACUUCCUUCAAUCUCUUUCUUGCAUGUCCUUCCCCUCCUGUUGGCCAGGCUAUGGCACUCCCCAUCUCCUAUUGGCUCUCUUGCCCUUGGUCAAUGCUCACCUUAUUCUCCAAAAGUGCAGGCAAGAAUCUGCCUUGACUGAUUGGUUCCAAUAUCUCAAACUGAUUCCUCGUGCACAACUUACUCAUCGCCCUGAUGAUGUAGGCAGCAAGGACCUCUAAAUCAUCGGUAAACUUCUACCAGACUACACGGUGCAACAAUCCAGAAGACAGCAAUCUUCAUAUUCACUGCCACGAGAUCCUCAUAUCCUACUUAUUAUUUUGAUCCUACAUGCUACUUUUUCCUCAGUUUAUUGAACAAAAAAUAAGUCAAUAAAGUCACAAAAAUAAAAAAUAGGUAAUAAAGUUUUGUAGCAGUUAUCUUUGUCUUCAAAUGAUUUUUUUAAACUCUUUUAUGUAUGAAGUCAACAAAGAGUAGUAGAUUUUGAUCACCUAUGGAUGCAGACCAAUGGACUGACUGGCAAACAAGAUGCAUACAGAAAUGAAAAGAGAUCUAGGUGAACAAGGACCUUCAGAACCAAAGCAAAAUACAGUCUGCCACCUAAAUGAUUCAUUAAGGUCCUCUGCAUAGUAUAUGUAUGAUAUUUUCCCACAGAACCUGCUGAUUUUGUCUGCAAGAUAUUAUAGUCUACUUAGUUUGGUACCCUUGGAGUGAGAUCUGAAGAAUGAAAAUAUCAAGUCUUGAAGGAAUAUUGUAGUGACUAGGAAAGUUUGUAAUUUUAUUACUGGUGACUCAUCAAAAUGCAUAGUCUGGAAGGUGUCACUUUCACUUUGAAGCCAACCUCUGCUAUGGUUGGAUUCUUCAGUAAAAGGAGCAGGAGCUUCAAUCAGCCGAACUGCUUCUUCAUCAGAGAUUCCUGGCUCUAACUGGAACUCGACCAAUGGCAGGACCUCUACAAGAACCACAAAGAUGUAAAAGUUAUGUAACUUCACUGCACUAUGUCUUCCUUGAGAUUUUAAAUUUGAAUUAAUUUCAACCAUCUAAACCUACAUGUUUUGAGACAAAUAUUAAAAUAAUAAAAUUCAUUUUUCAACUUUUAAAGCUAUUAAAGGUUCAGAGAAAUGUAUUUUUAUCCCUAGAAUUCUAGUUAUAUUUCCACCUAACUGGCACACUAGACUAAAAUCCAGAUAAUAUCUGUAGUAAACUGAAAGUUCUGGUCUUUAAACAUUUUGCAAACUUAUUAAUUAUUACAUACAUGCAGUGUUGGUAAAAUAGUGUUAUGUACUCAAUACACAACUAUUUCUGGUUAUUGUUAUGUU